GGUCAAGGCAAUUGAGUGAAUAAGUCUUUCUCAAGAGAGUAUACUUAGUGACCAGAAAGGAAGGGCAGACGUCCUGUUGGACUUUAGAAUUCAGGUUCGUGCACAAGUCAAGAUGGCUACCUCAAGGCACUAACCAGGAAGAGAAUGAACAGGUGCUGGCCAGGGCACCAUACCAGCAGGAAAUCAGCCAAUGCACGCCUAUGCCAGAGAAUCCACAAUGGAAGGAGGUAGGAGGAGAUACUGCAGCAAGGAUAGGACCCGCCUCUAAUGAGUGAUAAAAUAUAAAAAGGACGUGCAGAUGGCCACCAUGAUGGUUAUGAUGUAAUAUCAACAAACAAGGAAAGAAUGGCUUCUUGAUAAAACAGCUCCGUUCUUCACAUGUGCUUUCAUGGGACAGAAGAGAAAACUGAGGGGAUUCAGAUACAGAGAGACCUUGUGGGCUGGGAGCAUCCGGGUCACUGAGAAGCACUGCUGGCUUCAAUUUCCCGUUCAUAAACUUGGCACAUUUCAGUCUUCGCACGUCACUCUCCAUAACUGUGGGACCAUUUGUCUUACUUUUCCAUAGCAAUAAAGCUAACCCAGAAAUGUAAAAACAAAAGAAAAUAAACAGU